rnacentral:rRNA from 1 species
AACGAACGCUGGCGGCAUGCCUAACACAUGCAAGUCGAACGAGACCUUCGGGUCUAGUGGCGCACGGGUGCGUAACGCGUGGGAACCUACCCUUAGGUUCGGAAUAACUCCCCGAAAGGGGUGCUAAUACCGGAUAAUGUCUUCGGACCAAAGAUUUAUCGCCUUUGGAUGGGCCCGCGUUGGAUUAGCUAGUUGGUAGGGUAAAAGCCUACCAAGGCGACGAUCCAUAGCUGGUCUGAGAGGAUGAUCAGCCACACUGGGACUGAGACACGGCCCAGACUCCUACGGGAGGCAGCAGUGGGGAAUAUUGGACAAUGGGCGAAAGCCUGAUCCAGCAAUGCCGCGUGAGUGAUGAAGGCCUUAGGGUUGUAGAGCUCUUUUACCCGGGAUGAUAAUGACAGUACCGGGAGAAUAAGCUCCGGCUAACUCCGU